rnacentral:rRNA from 1 species
CAAAAGCGUAUAUUAAAGUUGUUGCAGUUAAAAAGCUCGUAGUUGAACCUUGGGCUUGGCUGGCCGGUCCAUCUUUUUUGAUGCGUACUGGACCCAGCCGAGCCUUUCCUUCUGGCUAGCCUUUUGGCGAACCAGGACUUUUACUUUGAAAAAAUUAGAGUGUUCAAAGCAGGCCUUUGCUCGAAUAUAUUAGCAUGGAAUAAUAGAAUAGGACGUUAUGGUUCUAUUUUGUUGGUUUCUAGGACCAUCGUAAUGACUAAUAGGGACGGUCGGGGGUAUCAGUAUUCAGUUGUCAGAGGUGAAAUUCUUGGAUUUACUGAAGACUAACUACUGCGAAAGCAUUUACCAAGGACGUUUUCAUUAA